rnacentral:rRNA from 1 species
UCGGGAAUUUUGGGCAAUGGGCGAAAGCCUGACCCAGCAACGCCGCGUGAAGGAUGAAGUAUUUCGGUAUGUAAACUUCGAAAGAAUAGGAAGAAUAAAUGACGGUACUAUUUAUAAGGUCCGGCUAACUACGUGCCAGCAGCCGCGGUAAUACGUAGGGACCAAGCGUUGUUCGGAUUUACUGGGCGUAAAGGGCGCGUAGGCGGCAUGACAAGUCACUUGUGAAAUCUCUGGGCUUAACCCAGAACGGCCAAGUGAUACUGUCGCGCUAGAGUGCAGAAGGGGCAAUCGGAAUUCUUGGUGUAGCGGUGAAAUGCGUAGAUAUCAAGAGGAACACCUGAGGUGAAGACGGGUUGCUGGGCUGACACUGACGCUGAGGCGCGAAAGCCAGGGGAGCAAA